CUCAGAGUCAGACAGGCAGGGACUUCUCUGCAAGAUCUCCUGGCAGCCAAUAAUUCCCCACCACAAAGAGCCUCUUCUUAACCCAGCUACUGAGACUGCAGCUGAACUUCAGUCAUGAAGAUCCUCCACUGCCUCUCUGCCAUCAUCUUCUUACUCAUGUGGACGGUUCAAGAAGACAGCCCUGCUGAAGCCGUGCUGCUCACUUGUGCCUCUAUGGGAGGCUUCUGCAUCCUGCAACCCAAUCAGAGCUGCCCCACAGGUCUACUCCUAGACGUCCCGUGCCGUUUCAGGAAAAGUUGGUGCUCAAAGACAGACGAUUAAUGCACAGCUUUAUGAUCCCUCUCACAUGUCUCACCCAUUCCAGGGGUUGACUGCAGAGUUCAGCUGCAAUGACCUCUGUCAGCGGGGCAUCCCUCUCCAUUCUGAAAUAACGUCUGGGAAUAGCCAGCAUUGAUUGCUCAGGAAU